GCCUAUGGCCAUACCACCCUGAACACACCCAAUCUCGGCUGAUCUCGGAAGCUAAGCGGAGUUGGGCCUGGUUAGUACUUGGAUGGGAAGACACAAAACAUAGGAA
rnacentral:rRNA from 1 species